rnacentral:rRNA from 1 species
UACGUAGGUGGCAAGCGUUAUCCGGAAUUAUUGGGCGUAAAGGGUGCGUAGGCGGUUUAUUAAGUCUAUGGUGAAAGUGCGGGGCUCAACCCCGUAUGGCCAUAGAAACUAGUAGACUAGAGUGCAGGAGAGGGCAAUGGAAUUCCAUGUGUAGCGGUAAAAUGCGUAGAUAUAUGGAGGAACACCAGUGGCGAAGGCGGUUGCCUGGCCUGUAACUGACGCUGAAGCACGAAAGCGUGGGGAGCAAAUAGG